UGCGUAGGCGGGAUGUCAAGUCAGCGGUGAAAUCUUCUAGCUCAACUAGAAAACUGCCGUUGAAACUGAUAUUCUUGAGUGUAAACGAGGUAAGCGGAAUGUGUCAUGUAGCGGUGAAAUGCUUAGAGAUGACACAGAACACCAAUUGCGAAGGCAGCUUACUAGGAUACAACUGACGCUGAGGCACGAAAGCGUGGGUAUCGAACA
rnacentral:rRNA from 1 species